CGGCGGCCAUAUCACGUUCAACUUCCGGUUCCCGUACGAUCACAUCAGUUUAUCAAUCAUGAGCCUGGUCAGUACUUAGAUGGGUGACCGUUUGGCAAUACCAGGUACUGUAA